GGCUUCAACAACCCCGUGGGCUGGGCCGCCGGGAAGGCGGCCAGCGAGCCCACUGGAGCC
ncrna:unclassified sequences nadA RNA